GAUGAACGCUGGCGGCGUGCCUAAUACAUGCAAGUCGAGCGAACGGACGAGAAGCUUGCUUCUCUGAUGUUAGCGGCGGACGGGUGAGUAACACGUGGAUAACCUACCUAUAAGACUGGGAUAACUUCGGGAAACCGGAGCUAAUACCGGAUAAUAUUUUGAACCGCAUGGUUCAAAAGUGAAAGACGGUCUUGCUGUCACUUAUAGAUGGAUCCGCGCUGCAUUAGCUAGUUGGUAAGGUAACGGCUUACCAAGGCAACGAUGGAUAGCCGACCUGAGAGGGUGAUCGGCCACACUGGAAGUGAGACACGGUCCAGACUCCUACGGGAGGCAGCAGUAGGGAAUCUUACGCAAUGGGCGAAAGCCUGACGGAGCAACGCCGCGUGAGUGAUGACGGUCUUCGGAUCGUAAAACUCUGUUAUUAGGGAAGAACAUAUGUGUAAGUAACUGUGCACAUCUUGACGGUACCUAAUCAGAAAGCCACGGCUAACUACGUG
rnacentral:rRNA from 1 species